rnacentral:rRNA from 1 species
ACAUGCCUACAAUAUAGUGUUAAUGCAUUGGAUCCCAUUUGAACUCUAUAGUUAAGUGCACUUGGGCUAGAGUAGUACAGGGAUGGGUAACCGCCCGAGAAGUCCUAGUGUUUUACAUGCC